rnacentral:rRNA from 1 species
AUUGAACGCUGGCGGCAGGCCUAACACAUGCAAGUCGAGAGAGCGGCGGACGGGUGAGUAAUGUCUGGGAAACUGCCUGAUGGAGGGGGAUAACUACUGGAAACGGUAGCUAAUACCGCAUGCCAUCAGAUGUGCCCAGAUGGGAUUAGCUAGUGGGUGGGGUAACGGCUCACCUAGGCGACGAUCCCUAGCUGGUCUGAGAGGAUGAACAACCACACUGGAACGGAGACACGGUCCAGACUCCUACGGGAGGAAGCAGUGGGGAAGAUUGCACAAUGGGCGCGAACCUGAUGAAGCCAUGCUGCGUGGGAGAAGAAGGCCUUCGGGUUGUAAAGAACGUUCAGCGGGGAGGCGUUACCCGCAGAAGAAGCACCGGCUAACUCCGUGCCAGCCGCCGCGGUAAUUC